GUGUGAGAACUGUAACUAAACACUAUAAAAUAUUGCUGAUGGACAUUAAAGACUACUCAAAUAGAGAGAGAUACAGGGUUCAUGGAUUGGAGGACUCUUUAUUCUUAAGAUAUAAUUUCUUGGCUGGGAAUUGUAGCUCAUGCUUAUAAUUCCAGCACUUUGGGAGGCUGAGAUGGGGGUAUCGCUUGAGCCCAGGGGGUCAAGGCUGCAGUGAGCUGUGUUCAUGCCACCGCACUCCAGCCUGGGCAACAGAGGGAGAAAAAAAGAUGUAAUUUCCUCCUAAAUUGAUCUAUAAAUUUUAUGCAAUCCUAGUAAACAUCCUAGCAUUUUUGUAUAAAUUGACAGGUUGAUUCUAAAAUUUAUGUUGAAAUGCCAAGUCAGAACAACUUUGAAUAAAUAGAUAAUUUAUACCUAGUGAUGUGCUGAUGUUUAACAACUAGCUCUCUGGAAAUACUUUUGUGGUAUAAAUACACCAUGGCUGAUUUCAAGCUACUAAUGUGACAUCACUGAACACAGGGUACGGAAGAGAUAUACAAGAUCAGUUCUUGUGAAUGGGUGCAAGCCAGUUUCAGCACACCACUUAUUACACUACAUGAUUUUAAGAUUUAUCAUAAAGCCACAGUAAUCAAAAUGGUAUGGUACUGGCAUAGGCAAUAAAAAUUCAGUAAGAAUGUAUAGAGAGUUCAGAAAUAGAGCCACACAUAUAUGACCAAUUCAUUUUUGACAAAGGUGAAAAGAUAAUUCAGGAGAAAGGAAACAGUUUUUUCAACAAUAGUGCUGGAAGAAUUGGAUAUUUACAUAAAAAAGAACUAUCCAUACAUUAUACAACUGUUAACUUAGAUCAUGGUUCUAAAUAUAAAAUAUAAAACUUCAGAAUUUUUAGGAUAAAAACUUUGUAACCUUGAGUUAUACAAAAUACUUACUAUGUAUGACACCAAACGAAUGAUUCAAGAGAACAAAAUUCAUAGAUUUUACUUUGACAAAGUUAAGAACUUUUGAUCUUCAAAAGUCAUAAUUAAGAAAUGAAAGGAUAAGCCAUAGACUGGGAGAAAAUAUUUGCAAAUGACAUAUCAGA
rnacentral:lncRNA from 10 species